rnacentral:lncRNA from 1 species
GUUGGCCCAAAUUGAUAUAAGAUUCUUCUUCAACUGAACAUUAAUUCAUCGUCGACUAUCUCGUCUGCAGCUCCCAUGGCUUCCACUUCCCGCAACACUAGCCUACUAUAGAAAGUGCUGCAACUCUCUCUCUCUCUCUCUCUCUCUGAGAUUUCCACUCUGUCUUUACUGUCUUUCCUGGAGAAUCCAUUGAAGAGUUCCGAUAACACUAAGCUAGCGCUCACACCAAAUAAGCCACUGAGCAAGAGAUUAGAAUCUAGGAAGUUGAAUUGGACGCUUCCAUUCAGGCCCUGGAGGUUUGUUAUUUUUGCUUUGAUUUCAUUUGUUACUUUUGUGCAUUCUAGGUUGAUUUAUUGUAGUUUUUUUUUCUCCCUCUGAAUUGAUUGUAUUUGCCUGUUGUUUUUAUGUUGUGAAAUAGUGUAAUUACUGAUAAUGUGGAUGCAAUUACUUAAUUUUUUAAAAAAUCUAAUUCACAUUUAAGCAUGAUAUUCCAUAAGAAUGUGGAUGAUUUGCGUAGUGCUUACUUUUAUUGGUAAUUUUAGAGAUGGGUAAAAAUCAAUCAAGGAAUCAUGUGCUUUGCCUAUCAAUUCACACAAGGCAGGAAAAAUGAAAUUAUAAAGCAAGCUGAUCAAAUCAUCUUUAAUAGGCUUUCAUAUGGUCAAUGAAUUUACUUCAAGGAAUGUUCUUCACAUUGCUCUUCAGGAAAGCAAGGGUCAAAAAUACUCAAUACAAAAGCUCAAUAGUUAUAUUUGGAGAUGAUAAUUGGUACCGUGAAAUACGCACCGGCUGCACCACUAUAUAAACAGUUUUAGGCUCCAUACCUGUUUUGUUUGAGUUCAAGUGACACAGGAAACAAUCUUGAUUUCUGUAGGUUAGCAUUAUGUCCCCACAAUGCGCAUUCAUCGUUGAUUUAAUUCUGUUGAUACCAUACUAUCCUUUACCACCUGUUAAUAUGUAUAUGUCCUGUUCAUUAACAAACAUGAAACAUUUGCCUCACUCUAUAAUUUUAGUUUGAGAUUGGAAGUCCCUUCGGCAUGGAGGACGUGUUUGCUGAAGGGGUGGAGAAGGUGAACUUCGGCAGGCUACGCCAGCAGAAGAAGGAGGUGAACCUGACUAUGCACCGACAGGAGGUGCCUUUGGUGAACGUCUUCCUGGAAGGCGUGAAGAGUGAUCCUGAGGCUCUGGCAAGGACCCCAGCCUCUUCCUUCAUAGACCGGGCCCAAAAGACGAUCCUCACCUCUGCCUAUGUAAGUGUUAGGCCUUCUUGUGUGCAUUUUUUUUUUGGAUUAUUCUUGUUUGGGUUGACUGACGUUGUUUUGUUUUGCAGGCCUUUGGCGAGAUGUAUGUCAGCAUGGCCAAGGCGGACAAAGAGAUCCAGAGGCUGAAGAGGCGUGAUGAGCUGGCCAAGAGCAAGAUGGCGGAGGCGCAGGAGGCCAUCCGAGAGAAGAACUCCCUGCUGGUGCAAAAGGCGGCCCUGGCCAAGGAGGUGGAGGAGUUGAAGAGGUCGAAGGCCGAGGAGGUGGCUGCUGCCCGAGUCGAGGCGAUCGAGUCCUUCCGAACCUCAGAGGAGCUGAAGAGCUACAUCAUGGACCGACUAGUGGAUGAGCAGCUUCGCUGGGAAGAUAGGUUGGUUAGGUUCAACCCCUCGGUUGAGAUUAACUUUGACAUGAGUGGCGAGCCUCCUGCUGAUGCUAGCGUCUCGACACUAGAGGCGGAGCACGCCACUGAGGAUGCCCCUUCGACCGAGUCUUGAAGGCGUUGCCUUCGUUAUGUAUUCUAACUGAUGUACUAUAGUUAUUUUGUUGGAACACUUUGCCUUGCGCGGAGCAAGGUUAUUUAUUUUUGUUGUGUAUGAACACUUUUCCUUGCGUGGAGUAAGGUUGUUUUGAUUUAUGAUAUGAGACUUGGUA